GCCAGCAAGGCCUAGUGGUUUGAGUGUUGGACUACGACUCUAGAGACCAGGGUUCGAUUCCCAGCUUGGCC
rnacentral:tRNA from 1 species